rnacentral:ncRNA from 1 species
UGUUUCGGGGCGUGGUGAAAGUCCACACCGGUGGUUAAAGUCCACGAGCGAGGUUAAACUUGCUGAAUUGGUGAGAUUCCAAUACCGACGGUAUAGUCCGGAUGGAAGAAA